GAUGAACGCUAGCUACAGGCUUAACACAUGCAAGUCGCGGGGCAGCAUUUCCUUAGCUUGCUAGGGAAGAUGGCGACCGGCGCACGGGUGAGUAACGCGUAUCCAACCUUCCCAUGUCCACGGGAUAGCCCGUCGAAAGGCGGAUUAAUACCGUAUGAGGUCACAUGCGGGCAUCUAACUGUGACGAAAGGUUUUGCGGACAUGGAUGGGGAUGCGUCCGAUUAGCUAGUUGGCGGGGUAACGGCCCACCAAGGCGACGAUCGGUAGGGGUUCUGAGAGGAAGGUCCCCCCACAUUGGAACUGAGACACGGUCCAAACUCCUACGGGAGGCAGCAGUGAGGAAUAUUGGUCAAUGGGCGAGAGCCUGAACCAGCCAAGUAGCGUGCAGGACGACGGCCCUAUGGGUUGUAAACUGCUUUUAUAAGGGAAUAAAGUGAGUCUCGUGAGACUUUUUGCAUGUACCUUAUGAAUAAGGACCGGCUAAUUCCGUG
rnacentral:rRNA from 1 species